rnacentral:rRNA from 1 species
GAUGAACGCUAGCGGCAGGCUUAAUACAUGCAAGUCGAGGGGUAGCAAGAUUGUAGCAAUACAAUUGUUGACGACCGGCAAACGGGUGCGGAACACGUACACAACCUUCCUACAAGUGGGGAAUAGCCCAGAGAAAUUUGGAUUAAUACCCCGUAACAUAGCGAUGUGGCAUCACAUUGCUAUUAUAGCUUCGGCGCUUGUUGAUGGGUGUGCGGCUGAUUAGAUAGUUGGCGGGGUAACGGCCCACCAAGUCUACGAUCAGUAGCUGAUGUGAGAGCAUGAUCAGCCACACGGGCACUGAGACACGGCCCGACUCCUACGGGAGGCAGCAGUAAGGAAUAUUGGACAAUGGACGCAAGUCUGACCCAGCCAUGCCGCGUGAAGGAUUAAGGUCCUCUGGAUUGUAAACUUCUUUUAUAAGGGACGAAAAAAGGUCUUUCUAGAUCGUCUGACGGUACCUUAUGAAUAAGCACCGGCUAACUCCGUGCCAGCCGCCGCCGUAAUAC